UACGUAGGGUGCAAGCGUUAAUCGGAAUUACUGGGCGUAAAGCGUGCGCAGGCGGUUGUGCAAGACCGAUGUGAAAUCCCCGGGCUCAACCUGGGAAUGGCAUUGGUGACUGUACGGCUAGAGUGUGUCAGAGGGGGGUAGAAUUCCACGUGUAGCAGUGAAAUGCGUAGAUAUGUGGAGGAACACCGAUGGCGAAGGCAGCCCCCUGGGUCAAAACUGACGCUCAUGCACGAAAGCGUGGGGAGCAAACAGG
rnacentral:rRNA from 1 species